CCAAUAGCGUAUAUUAAAGUUGUUGCAGUUAAAAAGCUCGUAGUUGAAUUUCGAGACCGGUUUACUGGUCGUGCUUUUUGUACGUACUGGUAUAAUCGGGUUCUCUCUUCUGACGAACUAUAAUGCCAUUAAUUUGGUGUUAUGGGAAAUCAGGACUGUUACUUUGAAAAAAUUAGAGUGUUUAAAGCAGGCUCACGCUUGAAUACAUUAGCAUGGAAUAACGAAAUAGGACGUUUGAUUCUAUUUUGUUGGUUUCUAGGAUCGACGUAAUGAUUAAUAGGGAUAGUUGGGGGCAUUAGUAUUCAAUUGUCAGAGGUGAAAUUCUUGGAUUUAUUGAAGACUAACUACUGCGAAAGCAUUUGCCAAGGAUGUUUUCAUUAAUCAAGAACGAAAGUUAGGGGAUCGAAGACGAUCAGAUACCGUCGUAGUCUUAACCAUAAACUAUGCCGACUAGGGAUCGGAUGAUGUUAAUUUUAAUGACUCAUUCGGCACCUUACG
rnacentral:rRNA from 1 species